UACGUAUGGGGCGAGCGUUGUUCGGAAUUAUUGGGUGUAAAGGGCGUCUAGGCGGGAAAUUAAGUUAUAUGUGAAAGGCGUGGGCUCAACCCACGAAUUGCAUCUAAAACUGGUUUUCUUGAGUUCGGGAGAGGAGAGCGGAAUUCUUGGUGUAGCGGUGAAAUGCGUAGAUAUCAAGAAGAACACCAGUGGCGAAGGCGGCUCUCUGGCCUAGAACUGACGCUGAAGCGCGAAAGCGUGGGUAGCGAACGGGAUUAGAUACCCGGGUAGUCCCUGAG
rnacentral:rRNA from 1 species